CCAAAAAUGGUUCGCCUUUAAAGACCAUUUAUUGUGGUGUAACCUUUUUGAUGUAUCUUAUUAUAGAACUUUAAGGACUCACUAACUAAAAAUAUUUGUUUGACAAGAAAUUGUGCACAUGGUAACAUCAUACCACGGUAAAUAAAGUGCCAGCAACCGCGGUCAUACUUUGGUGAAAAUAAAGGUGUCUAGGAAACCUAAGCAUUUAUUAAACCACAAUAGUGAAAUAUUGACCUAAUUUGCCUAUUAUGCUCAUCAAUUAAGGCUGAUCACAAACAGGGAUUAGAGACCCCUCUAUGCAGCAUAAAGUCAAUCCUGGGGAUUAAUGCUAACCAGCCUAAACCCAACCAAUAUGGCGGUGGUUAGGAAUAUUAGGGGAACUUAUGGGAUAAUUGAUAACCACCAAGGAAAUGCCCGGAACCAAAGAUUUUGUAUACCGUCGUCGUCGAUACUCUAUGAUAGACUAUCAAAAUGUACACACAUUAAGACAGAUCAAGGUGCAGACAAUUGUUCCGUCUUCACGAGUUACUUUAUUAGCUAAAUUCUAUCAACAGAUGUAACGCUGCUAAAUGUAGGACUUAAAAGUAAUACUAAAAAACAUUAAACUAUGAAUAAAAACCUAACCGUGC
rnacentral:rRNA from 1 species